GGAGGUCACUGCUAUUGGGAUUCGGCUAAGCCAUGCAAGCGGAGGGCGCGGUCGAAAGAUCGUGGCCCCGCACACUGCUCAGUAACACGUAGUCAACCUACCCUUGGGACGGGGACAACCUCGGGAAACUGAGGCUAAUCCCCGAUAGGUGAGGGACGCUGGAAUGCCUCCUCGCCCAAAGCUCCGGCGCUCAAGGAUGGGACUGCGGUCUAUCAGGCUGUUGGUGGUGUAACGGACCACCAAACCUACGACGGGUACGGGCGAUGGGAGUCGGAGCCCGGAGAUGGGGACUGAGACAAGGCCCCAGGCCCUACGGGGCGCAGCAGGCGCGAAAACUCCGCAAUGCGCGCAAGCGUGACGGGGGAAUCCCAAGUGCCGUUGGUCUUAUGAUCGACGGUUUUUAGGAAGUCUAAGAAGCUUCCAGAAUAAGGGCUGGGCAAGACUGGUGCCAGCCGCCGCGGUAACACCAGCAGCCCAAGUGGUGACCACGAUUAUUGGGCCCAAAGCGCUCGUAGCCGGAUCAGCAAGUCCCUUGUGAAAUCGGGCCGCCUAACGGUUCGGCGUGCAAGGGAUACUGUUGGUCUUGAGGCCGGGAGAGGUCGGAGGUACUCCUGGGGUAGCGGUGAAAUGCUCUAAUCCUAGGGGGACCACCAGUGGCGAANGCGUCCGACCAGAACGGACCUGACGGUGAGGGGCGAANGCUAGGGGAGCGAACGGGAUUAGAUACCCCGGUAGUCCUAGCUGUAAAGCAUGCGGGCCANGUGUCUAGCGCUCCU
rnacentral:rRNA from 1 species